GACGAACGCUGGCGGCGUGCCUAAUACAUGCAAGUUGAGCGCUGAAGGUUGGUACUUGUACCAACUGGAUGAGCAGCGAACGGGUGAGUAACGCGUGGGGAAUCUGCCUUUGAGCGGGGGACAACAUUUGGAAACGAAUGCUAAUACCGCAUAAAAACUUUAAACACAAGUUUUAAGUUUGAAAGAUGCAAUUGCAUCACUCAAAGAUGAUCCCGCGUUGUAUUAGCUAGUUGGUGAGGUAAAGGCUCACCAAGGCGAUGAUACGUAGCCGACCUGAGAGGGUGAUCGGCCACAUUGGGACUGAGACACGGCCCAAACUCCUACGGGAGGCAGCAGUAGGGAAUCUUCGGCAAUGGACGAAAGUCUGACCGAGCAACGCCGCGUGAGUGAAGAAGGUUGUCGGAUCGUAAAACUCGGUUGGUAGAGAAGAACGUUGGUGAGAGUGGAAAGCUCAUCAAGUGACGGUAACUACCCAGAAAGGGACGGCUAACUACGUG
rnacentral:rRNA from 1 species